UACGAAGGGGGGCUAGCGUUGUUCGGAGUUACUGGGCGUAAAGGGCGCGUAGGCGGCGCACCAAGUCAGGCGUGAAAGCCCUGGGCUCAACCCGGGAAUUGCGCUUGAGACUGGUGUGCUUGAGUACGGGAGAGGAUAGUGGAAUUCCCAGUGUAGAGGUGAAAUUCGUAGAUAUUGGGAAGAACACCAGUGGCGAGGGCGGCUCACUGGCCCGAUACUGACGCCGAGGCACGAAGGCGUGGGGGAGCGAACGGG
rnacentral:rRNA from 1 species